rnacentral:rRNA from 1 species
UCAAGAAACUUCCACAAUGGGCGAAAGCCUGAUGGAGCGACGUCGCGUGAUGGACGAAGUGCUUCGGCACGUAAACAUCUUUUAUGUGGGAUGAAAUUAUUGACAGUACCACAUGAAUAAGGGGCUCCUAACUCUGUGCCAGCAGGAGCGGUAAUACAGAGGCCCCAAGCGUUAUCCGGAAUCACUGGGCGUAAAGGGUGUCGAGGCGGUUGUAUUAGUCGUUCGUAAAAUCUACGAGCUUAACUUGUAGGCGGCGAACGAAACGGUACGACUUGAGGUUUGGAGAGGUGCGUGGAACUCACGGUGUAGGGGUGAAAUCCGUUGAUAUCGUGGGGAACACCAAAGGCGAAGGCAGCGCACUGGCCAAAAUCUGACGCUCACACACGAAAGCUAGGGUAGCGAAGAGGAUUAGAUACCCAUGUAGUCCCUGAGCGGGCUGGCAAGGCGCAU